UAUCAGUGAUGAUCUCACCAUGCCCAUGCC
rnacentral:piRNA from 1 species